GACGGGGUGCCUAGGGGGCUAAGAAGGCACUCAGUUUUUGCUUAGCCCCACCUAACUGGGAUGGCCAGUUACCUUGGGGUCCAUUAUUCAGUCUGAAACUGCUAGCCUGAGAUUCCCUUCAGGGUGGAUUCUCAUGGGAACAGGGAACCAGUCCAAGCUUUGGAGUCUCCAGCUUAUCAGGUAGUCCUAAAACUUGGGGUUCAUCAGGUCUUACUAGGCUACAAGUUGGGGGUUUCUAGAUUCCAUGUUGAUAACUCCUUCCUGAUUGGUGUACUAUCUCUCUCUCUAUCUCUCUCUGUCUCUCUCUCUCUUUCUCUCUCUCUCUCUCUCUCUCUCUCUCUCUCUCUCUCUCUCUCUCUCUCUCUCUCUCUCUCUCUCUCUCUCUCUCUCUCUCUCUCUCUCUCUUUCUCUCUCUCUCUCUCUCUCUCUCUCUCUCUCUCUCUCUCUCUCUCUCUCUCUCUCUCUCUCUCUCUGUCUCUCUAUCUAUCUCUGUCUCUCUCUCUCUGUCGUUGUCUCUGUCUCUGUCUCUGUCUCUGUCUUUCUAUCUCUCUGUCUCUGUCUUUCUCUCUGUCACUGUCUCUGUUUCUCUCUCUGUCUCGGUCUCUCUUUCCCUCCCUCCCCCCCCCCAUUUCUUUAUGUCAUUUCAGGCAUACUUUGUAUCUACACGUUACUGCCCCCCCCCCCUAGAAGAUCAGCUCCCCAAGGUCAGGGCCAUUGCCUUUUUAGUUUCUCACACAAAGGUUUGUUGACAUGAAACGGAUUAUAUUCACAGAAUCCUUGGAUGGGUGCCCCGCCCACUUGUUGUCCCGUGACCACUCUCCGGAUCUCUCAUUGACCCCCCAGUCAUCCCGGAGUCCUAGAGUCCAUCCAUUUCUAUGACUUCACGUGCCUCCACGACCUCACCCUGCCUCUGCCUGCUCCCAUGGAUGGAGGGAGGGGAGGGUCAAAGGAGAUGCACUGGGGGGCUGGGGCCAGCCUGCGGGGUCACAGGGGCUCCUGUGGGCAACUCUACCCCACCAGGCAGGCUGUGCCCUCUUUCCGAGUUGGGCCUCAGCUCAGACAACUCUCAAUGCGCUGGGUGAUUGCCUAUGUGUACAGAUACAGCAUCGGUCUGUAUGGGCCGGAUGAUGUGCCAUAUCAGUUGGACAGCUACCCGUGGAGUGAAUCAUCCCUGUUUCACUGGAGGAUGAUGAACAAGGCCCAGAACUGGAAGCAAGAGAACAAGCUGGAUUGUGUCUCGAAAAUUUCACAGCUUUGCCAAUGAUCCCAAGUUGGAGCAGUAAGAUUCCCCCAGGCGUGUUGUGUAGCUGUGAAUCAUGAAACAAUACAAUGCCCACAGAAUUGUGUUUGUGGGAAA
rnacentral:lncRNA from 1 species